AAACUUCAACCCCUUCGUCCAGCCAGUCCAUGCAGGGCGCAGAUGAGUCCCUCCCUCGUUUUUUCACUCCCUUCCUCAAAGCUCUUAUUUAGCUUUCCUAGCCUUUCCCAUCCUCCUUUCUCUAGUUCUCUCCUUCUAGCUCUCGUUCUCCCUUCACCUGCCGCGGCCCCUCUCCCCCCUACUCUCUCCCUCUCUCUCUUCUGCCCCAAUCUCUCUCGGUCCACCUUAAUUCGAGCUCCGCCCCGACCCCCAUCCAGCCCACUGCCGCUGUUCCGCCCCACCCCUUGUACGCCACCGCCCUGUCCGUCCAUUGGUCAGAACACCCGCCCAUCCCAAGUGGUCCCGCCUCGCGAUCGUCCAGGGAGGGGGCGGAGCUGAAGGGUUGGCUUGAAACCUGGAGGGAAGGGGGGAGGGGGCAGCGUCCGCAGUGGCCAGGGAACUGAGGACCCCCUCCAGGGACUAUCUCUGUUCCUAGAGGGGUUUCUGUAGGGUUAGGACCUCCAGAGGGAAGGGUAUGAAAGUUAAAGAUAGGAUGGGGGUGGAAUUGGGGACUUAGGGUCUUGAGGGAGGGGGUCCCGUGAGGGGCUAUAAUCAGGUCAGGGCCCCAAGAGGGAGGGGAAGGGGGAAUCAUCAGGCCUUCAACUCUGGAUCACCCCCUCUCUGAGUGGGGGAGUUUAGCCUGCAGGCACCCUUCGUCCUUCCCCACGCGUGACGGCACCUCGCGGGGAGGGAAUGGCGCCCCGGGCGAGCAGCCGCUGAGAUCUAGCUGGUGCGGCUUCGGCCUUGGCUUUGUCAGAGGGGAGGGGCCUGGUCCGCUUAGGGGGAGGGGAAGGCGCGCUCACACUCCUGCUCCCCGCCUCCAUCCCCUCGGUUCCCUAAGUCGAGAAACCGAGUCUCCAGGAAGGAGGGACAUCUUGACUUGGAUUCGCUGAGACCCAUGUGCCGUCGGGGUCGCGCUGGCUUGGGGAAGGGCUGUGCCAGGGGCCAGGCGGCGGUGCCAGAUGCACGAGUGAAAUGGAGAGGCGGCUGUUUCGAGGAGGAGGGGGCGUAGCCGAAGAAAACGGGAUGGGAGACGUGGGCCACGCGGGACAGAACCAAGCACCCCCAGAGGCAAUAGAAGAGUGGCCGGCCGAACAACAGCCCUUGGGUACAGAGACGCGGAUGGCGCCCAAUGCCUCGAGCUCGCCUGGCCUCCCCCAAGUUUAGGGGUCACGUCUGACGUCUGCCUGGACAUAAUUUGAGUCUUUCUGCGCCUGAAUUGCCACUGUCCUCUUCAGUCCCUAAGUCCUGGAGUCUACAGUUAGUUCCUCAGUAACCCCCUCCCGUGUUUCUCUCUUUCUUCUGGUACAAACAGCUCAUCUUCUCACUCAUAAAUCGGAAGGGGGAACCCCAACUUGAAAUUCCCUCCUACCCCCAACUCGAGCUCCUACGGAGCUAAACCACUGAGACGGCCACUGCAGCAAAGCGCCUGGCCCCGCCUCCUACGAAACCCCUUCGGGGCCCCAGGGGCUUGCAGGCCCCGGCCCAGCCUCCAGCCCUGACUGGAACUGGGAGCUGAAGGGCCAGCUUAGGGCUUGCAGGGGCCUCCUGGGGACAGUGGAGAUCCUCGGAUCCGCACGUUCUGCCUUCAGUCUUCAGGCAACGGCCAGACCUUGGUGUUUGGGGAAAGUAAUAGGAGGUGGACAGAUACCUGGGGAAUGAGGUGUUUGCCCUGAUAGAGGGACGAAAUCCCCGGCUUAGAGGUCCGUAUUUCUGGGGCUGGGGGGCAGCGACUCGGACUGGCGAGGUCACGUGCGCCAAGAGCAGCUACAGAGAAGGCAGGUGGUCGCUGAGCAUGGGGAAGCAAGUGAGGCGAGGCUCUGCCUCGGCGGGCUUCUGGGUGAGUGGGUCUGGGGGACUGUUUCAGAAUGCGGGGGCCUGAGCUGGAAGCAGAGUGUCAGCCUGACCCGGGCGCCCACCUCUUCCCCGAUGCUCCCCUUCUUCCCCGCCGCCUCUGCUUCCCUCGAAAAACCCGCCGCCCAGGAAACCGCUGGGGGCGCGCAAACCGCAGCGCCCCCCCGCGCCCGCCGCCCCCCAGCGACCGCCCAACCCACCUGAAGGGGCCGUGGCCGCCAGGGGCACCCCUCCCGGCGCCCCCCUACACCUGCGGGUGCUCUAUUUUUAACUCCGCGCCUGCCUCGGGCCUCUGGGUUGGAGCCGGCUGCGGCGCGCGCUAAUCGCCACCGCGAUCUCUGCGCCCCCCGGGGCCGGAGGAGGUAAAUUUAGCAUCUGGAAGCUCUGGGGAGCAUUUCCAAAACUCCGUGUCCCGGAGAAGGCGAAACGGAACCCCUUGCCCUCAGCCACCGGAAGGCCGGUCUCCCGGCUCCUCGGACCCAGUGUGAGUGAGAGUCGCUCCUCUGCGGCGUGGGCAGGCAAGGGGCUGAAGGCGAACGAGGGACUGGUACUGAUGGGUCAGGGCGUGUCAGCAGGAGUGGACGCGACCCGAAGUUGGCCCUGACUCUGCACUCUGACAGUCAAUGAUAAAGGGGAAGGGGGAGUGAGGGUCAAAGAACUCACGUGCAAACGAGAUGCAAAUAGGAUGCAAAUAUGGUGAAAGCCUAAGCCUUGGGUGGGUCGGCGCUCUGGCGCCUGCAGCGAAAAGGUUGCAACCCUCUUUCCUCUCGCCCCGUGGGGUUGUGGGGAAAACGUGGGACCCCCCCAUCCCCCAUAGCAUUACUGUGACAGCCAGUUUAUUUAUUGUACACGGCUUCUUAGACUCCUUGGACUUAACUUCUGCCUCCCCCUCUCGAAUGCCUUCACAGUCCUGUAUCCGAUGAAAUCCUCCUGGAAUCUUGGACAUCAGGCCACUCCGCUUGCUGUCCUACUUGGGGUCGCUCAAUUUGUCGCCUCAUAUCCUCCUUUCCUACCCCACUCAGUCCCGUACCGCUUGUGGCCACCAGAGGGCCCCCGGGCGCCCAAGGGUGGGUAAGGUCUUUCAGUCCCCCUCUGUCUUGGCACCUGGAGCCGUGCUCCUCCUUCGCGGCCCCAACCCCACAAGAGUUCCUGAGGGAGUACCCGAACACUCAAAACCCGAGUUGCUUAGUUGGGGAGAGAAAUCUGUGAGGAAACGAUCAGAUUUCCCCCUUCUAGCGGAGCUGUGAGGCAGAAAAGACGUGGCCGGUGUGGAUUCGGUGAAAAGGCUGUAGCUGGACCUCCAAAUAAGCCAAGAAUCCAAUGACAAGGAGAGCUUAGAAAAGAGGCGGGAAGCGGCACAGCAUGGACCGGGUGGGUGCAAAACAAGGGAGUGGCCCCUCUAUGCUUUUUUGCUUUUGUGGCUUUGCCUCCUGAGUUGCUUAGGCCACGAUCCCCACACCAACACCAGCUCAGAAGAGGAAGACAGGGUAUCAGGAGAAAUCCUGAAUUUGAGAUCUGAAAAUCUGGGUUCACUAAAUACUCUGUUGCAGCGUGUUAUGUGUGUGACCUUGGACAAAUCACCUCUCUGGGACCUGUUUCCUUCCAUUUAGUGGAAUAAUUACCCCUGUCUUGCCUCCUUUUGUGAGGCUCUAAGCACUCUGCAGUGUGAAAAGGGCUCUCAGGAUGUCCCUUUAGUCCCUCUAGCACUCGCUGCAGCAGCUCCGGAAUGCCUGGGAAGAGGUAGACAUUUC